AGAGUUGAUUCUGGCUCAGGACGAACGCUGGCGGCGUGCCUAACACAUGCAAGUCGAACGGAGCUAUUGAGCUUGCUCUUAGCUUAGUGGCGGACGGGUGAGUAACGCGUGAGAAACCUGCCCUUGAGUGGGGAAUAACACCGAGAAAUCGGUGCUAAUACCGCAUAAUGUCACGGGAUCGCAUGUUCUUGUGACCAAAGGAUUUAUUCGCUUAAGGAUGGUCUCGCGUCCGAUUAGUUAGUUGGUGAGGUAACGGCUCACCAAGACCGCGAUCGGUAGCCGAACUGAGAGGUUGAUCGGCCACAUUGGGACUGAGACACGGCCCAGACUCCUACGGGAGGCAGCAGUGGGGAAUAUUGGGCAAUGGGGGAAACCCUGAACCCCAGCAAUGCCGCGUGAAGGAUGAAGGUCUUCGGAUUGUAAACUUCUUUGAUUGGGGAAGAAUAAAUGACCUACCCAAAGAACAAGUCACGGCUAACUACGUGCCAGCCGCAGC
rnacentral:rRNA from 1 species